CUAGGAGAAGCUCUUGCAAGAUCCCUGCACCAUGUGGUCAGCUGGUUUCUUCCUCCGUGGUCUUUGGCCCUGGCUUGUUUUGCGUGAUAAAAAGGAAGAGUCAUCGGAGAGCUUCACAUACAGCAAACACAACCUCAGAGAUAUUUUGGAGCUUUCUGGGUGGGAAAGAAAGACGUGGCAAAAGCAGCCGAAGGAUUCAGGGUUAACACUUUGCCUUUUGAAGAUAUUUCAGUUCUUGGAGGGCUUCCAGUCUGAAUUUGGGGAAUUCAUCAACAGGAAAACAAAUCUGGCAGGCUCUGUAUUUACUCUGCCCUUCUCAAGGUUGCAACAUAAAUCUCCCAACUUGGAAAGCAUUAAGGCCGAGGAGACAUUUUGUGAGUUCAGGGACUCUCCUCCAGUCUGCAGGAACCACAUCUACCCUCAUUUCGGGAAAACACAGGCACCAGCCCUCAAGGUGCUGCUGGAGACAGUACUGACACUGUUUGACUCGCUUGGGGCAGACUGGGGAAAUGAGAGCUGGAAAACUUGAGUUCUCCAAGUGAGAGCUGUUGGUCUGCUUUGGAAAAAACCCACUUACGCCAGGAGAAUGAAAGCCCUGAGAAGUUCUCAUUGGUGGGCUCUCAUGCCUCCCAUACAUUCCACAGACAAGGGCCAAGUCCUGGGCUAGGCUGUGGAAGUCCAGAGAAGAACAUCAUUGCUGGCCUCAAGAAGCUAAGGCUCUGCAAGGGGAGACAGGGGAGUAAACAGCUGCCAUGGAAGGUGCCAAGUGCUAUGGCAGGCAUGUGACCGGCAGGAUAUGAGGAUUCACCUUCAGCUCUCUGUGUGCCUGUUGUGGGGAGAGCCCAACGUGAAGGGUAAAGACAAAGCGGGGAAACUACCAGAAGAGGCUUCCUACAGUGCCUGGGGCCUGAGCUCAGGCAUGGAGGACACAGUGGAGCUGGCCAGGCUGAGAUGGCACAAUCUGGAUUCUCUGACUUGAUGACUGGGGAAUGCUGGUUCCACAUCUGCACUGAGAUACUUACGUUUCAUUUUCAGGUUGUUUUCAGCCCUUAAAAGAACAAGACCUAUUUCAACUGGAUUUUCCUACAGUUCUUAGGUAAGGUGAGCAUCUAAUUCAGUACCCAAACUGGGACAAUCAUGAAAGUGAAAGGCAGGCUAUUAAUAGUUAAGCAAGGACAAUAGCAUAUGCCAGAGCUGCCACAGGCAAACUGUGGCAGGUGGUCACCCUAUUUUUAGGGGUAGGCUGACCCUCUUCAAUAGUCAUGAAUUAGUCUUACUAAGCAAUGCUACUUUUUCUGAUGGCUUUAAAAAAAACCAUUAAUUUGGGGCAAUCAUCUCAACAAAUUUGAGAAAUUAAAAGGAGAAGCAAAGAUAUAUUUACAUCCAGACAUAUGUGAUUGCUUGGGAUUUCCUUUGACACGAAACUUGCAAAGUAUAAGGGGAAAUCUGGGCUGGCAUUUCUUUAUGCUUGUGACCGGGACCAAAAUAUGAAAAUGUACUUAUUUUAACCCAAGGCACUGGAAACGUUGUACAAGUAGCACUAGAGUCUCUCUCCAUUCCACAAAAGUCAUAUUUGAGCAAAUGAAAAUUUCACCCUUUGGCUUGAAGAUGGAAUGUACAUCAGUGAAUAUGAGACUGUUUUUCUAGGAAAUAACGCUUAUUUAGAAACAUCCAGGUGUUAUCCAGAGAGCCUGACCUUGACUCCAGGCUGAUUCAGGUGAAACUGGCUGUCUAGUAUUCCUGCCUUCAACUCUGCCACCUGCCAUCCAUUCCGCACUCUCCUCUAGCCAAGGAAUAAUUUUCCAUAGGAAAGCAUGAGAUAUUUUGCUUUCAGUUUUGCUGGUGAUCCUGAAACACAUGAACCUGAGGCAAAAAAAGUAAAGUGCUGUACCUUUGGUCCUUAAAGCAGCAGUGAUUUCUCCAAAUGCGAGGGCUGCAUCUAAAAGCAUGCCACGGUCUCCCCACUACCAUGGCACAGGUUUGCGUGAAGACCCACUGUGAUAAUAUACAGGAUGGGCUAGACUUUGCUAACUGUAAAACACCACAACAAUGUGAGUUAUUUUUCUUGUUUGAGUGUUUCCUGGAUGGAGUUGAAAUAUUUUGACAAUCACAGAUUGAACUGUAGAUAUCUCGCCCCGUGGAUGAUGAAUUGUGUUUUAACAAGGCGAUGCUCCACUGAGUUGUAGGUUACAUAUUUCUCUGUCAGAAGCAGCCCACACUGAGCGAGGUAGACAGUGGUUUCGAGUUAGGACAUGUGUGGAGUCCUGGUGAGCUCUAGAGAAUAAAUGACUACUAAGAAGGAAGAAAACGAGAUGGUGGGAAGGAAAAAAAAAAGGAGGGAGAGAGUGGUGGGGGAAGAAGGGAGGUACAGGGAGGGAGGGGAAAAAGAAAGGAAGAAAAAGAAAAAAAAAGAAAAAGAAAUGAAAGGUUCGGCAAGAACUCAUGAUGGUUUCAACAGCACAAUUUGCAGUUCAUCCUAAGGGAGCUGGGACAUACACCCGCCCAUGACCGUCCAAGGGAAAAUCUCACUAGAAUGAGGUCAUCUUUCCCCUCCAAACAACCAAGACAGAAAAUGGCAGGUGAAUUGGAAUUGCACUCCCACCUUGCAAUGUGUGGAUGAGAUUUGAUUUCUCUCCAUCAUGUGUGUGGUGGACCUUGGGCACCCAAGGCUGGCGUCCACACUAACAUAGACUGAAGACCCCAAUAGGAAGAUGGCUGAGACCUGGGAGCUGGGCACCUCCUGCAAGGAACUGCUGAUUAAAAAAAAAAACCUUUGUCAGGGCACAGGUGAUCAUCUUUUAUCAAAAUUGUUGUCCCUCCUAUCUCAUAACAAGGCUGCCCGUGUUGUGUGUGCGUGCGUGUGGAGGGUGCGUGCGUGCUGCUGAGCGGGUGCAUGCCUCCGUGUGUGUUUGAUGUCUCAUCUGAUGUGAUUAAGGGAGAAAAGGGGUCAGGGGACUGUUCUUUGUUUAUUUUGCAGAUAAAUCUCAUCUUUAAUCCGGAUGCACAGCAAUGUCUUGUGCAAAGGAAAGGAAGCCCCCUACGCCACCCCCUGACAUCCAUAUAAAUCACAGGUUUUAUUCCUCUGCUGUGAGGGGGCACUGCAGAAUGGAGCAACGUUGCAGACUCUCAUUGGGUGAUGCUUCAUUACUUGGUGGAAAAUCCCCAGGGCCAAAACGUUAUUUAAAUGUGCUAUGAAAAUAAAUGUGAUUUAUAUAUGUGUCGUCUGCUGAGACGUUCUUCUCUGUUACUGCAGGUGCUGUCGUGCAUCAGGAUUAGCGCCUCAAUUUAUCGCCGGUUCAAGCUGCACACAUGCUCCGGGACAGGGUGUCGUCCGCAUCCCUGAAAGUUCCAGGAAGGAGACGGUGUUUGCUGAGUGGUGGGCUUUAGAUAUUUAGCAGUGUGGUUGGCUUUUAUGGGCUGAGAAUGUGUGUGUGUGUGAGCGUGUGCGUGCUCAUGCAUGCUGGUGUUGAGCCUGGGUCAUGGUUUUGUUUGAAAGGUGCAGGGAACAGACACUUUGUACUCAGAUGCAUCAAUUUCCAAUGGCAGCAGCAUGCUGUUUCUGGUUGAAAGAGAAAGAAGAAAGCGAAAUCUUCAUUUCAGCUUAGGACUGGGGCCCACAUGUUUAGCUCAAAGUGAGUGGAAAUCUCUGAAAAGCAGGUUUGGGCUAAUGAAUGUCAGCAGGCCUUCAAUGUAAAUGGGAUUUGAGCAGCAGAAAGGAGUGUUGUUGCGAUGUUUCCAUUACCAAAGAAAGAUAUAGAGGGGCAAGCCUUGUCUUAAGGGGAUGAAGAAGGGCCCUCCAGCUGCCCAAGCAGAGCCUUUUCCAGUGGGCUUUCAGGCACUCAGAAAACAUGGCUCCUACCACAUGUCAUGGGGCACGACGCCAUUGCUCCAGACAAGUAAACCUGAGCUGGGGGGAGGUGGCAAAGCUGCAACCAGACACCACGAAUACUAUAUUCUACAAUACAGAACAUGCCACAUCAGUCCUCACCACAGACUUGCCUCUGUGCCCCUCAUUUUAAAGAUGACAAAACUGAGGACCACAGAGGUCAGUAUCUCAGAAUCUGGAACUCUUCAUCCCUGGAGAAUCCAGGUCUUCUGCUUCUGGAAUCCUUCUUUGGGCAUUCUUUAAACUGGUAGCAACUCGUGUCUUGCCAGUCUUGUCUCUGGCUCCCCUACUCUGUUUUUCUUCAAGAUUAAGGGUUUAAAUGAUAUCUAAAGUAGGACCUACCUAGAAAAAAGACCUACAUAAAAUUACUUUCAGAUUAAUGUGGGGAAGCAAACAAAGGAACUUAUGAAUAUAUUCUAUUAGGCUGUUAUUUUAAAUAAGCAACGGUCACUCUGGAGCCCUAAUGGGAAACCUUAAAAAAACCUUUUUAUUUUGAAAUAAUUUCAAAUCCAUAUAAAAAUUUCAAAAAUAGUGCCAAGAGUUCCUGUACAUUUUUCUUCAGCUUCCAUGUUUGCUUUCUCAUUCUGUGUGUGUGUAUGUGUGUGUGUGUGUGUGUGUGUGUGUGUGUGUGUAUUUCUUUUCUGAAUGGCUUCGGGAUACACUAUACACAUUCUACCCCUUUACCCCUAAAUACAUCAGUACACAUUUCCUAAAUUCAUUUACACAACCACAGUACAGUUAUCAAAUCCAAGAAAUCAACAUUGCUAUAGUAUUAUUAUCUAAUUUAUAGACCUUGUUUGAACUUCAGUAAAUGUCCUACUAAUGUCCUUUCUAGCAAAAAACAAAAAAAAACAAAAAAACAAAAAAAAAAAGGAGAAAAAUAAAAAGAAAAAGUUUGUUUUCCACUUACUUUGGGAUUGUGUGAAACUCGUGUCUCAUUUAUGGGGACUUAUGUGAGAGGGUUGAGUGUGCUAAAGUUUUAGGCUAUUAAACUAAAAACUAAACCUUACCUUAAAAAUAUACAUAUAUUAUAUCUAUAGUAUCUUCACCUUGAUAAUUCUUCUUUGAUAAUUAUGAUUAAAUGUCCAUAAUGGGAAAAUUCAAAACCUUUAUAUCUGUGAACCAAAAAAUAAAACCAGAUUCUGCAUUCCUCGUGCAUUUCAA